CCUAAUACAUGCAAGUCGAGCGGACCCUUCGGGGUUAGCGGCGGACGGGUGAGUAACACGUAGGCAACCUGCCUGUAAGACUGGGAUAACUACCGGAAACGGUAGCUAAGACCGGAUAAGUGAUUCUCUCGCAUGAGAGGAUCAAGAAACACGGGGCAACCUGUGGCUUACAGAUGGGCCUGCGGCGCAUUAGCUAGUUGGUGGGGUAACGGCUCACCAAGGCGACGAUGCGUAACCGACCUGAGAGGGUGAUCGGCCACACUGGGACUGAGACACGGCCCAGACUCCUACGGGAGGCAGCAGUAGGGAAUCUUCCGCAAUGGACGCAAGUCUGACGGAGCAACGCCGCGUGAGUGAUGAAGGUUUUCGGAUCGUAAAGCUCUGUUGCCAGGGAAGAACGUCGUGGAGAGUAACUGCUCUGCGAAUGACGGUACCUGAGAAGAAAGCCCCGGCUAACUACGUGCCAGCAGCCGCGGUAAUACGUAGGGGGCAAGCGUUGUCCGGAAUUAUUGGGCGUAAAGCGCGCGCAGGCGGCCGCUUAAGUCUGGUGUUUAAGCCCGAGGCUCAACCUCGGUUCGCACUGGAAACUGGGUGGCUUGAGUGCAGGAGAGGAAAGCGGAAUUCCACGUGUAGCGGUG
rnacentral:rRNA from 1 species